rnacentral:rRNA from 1 species
UACAGAGGGUGCAAGCGUUAUUCGGAAUCACUGGGCGUAAAGGGCGUGUAGGUGGCUUUAUAAGUCUGAUGUGAAAGCCCUCGACUCAAUCGAGGAAGUGCAUUGGAUACUGUAGAGCUUGAGUAUGGAAGAGGAGAACGGAAUUCCUGGUGUAGAGGUGAAAUUCGUAGAUAUCAGGAGGAACAACGGUGGCGAAGGCGGUUCUCUGGGCCAGUACUGACACUGAGGCGCGACAGCGUGGGGAGCAAACAGG